rnacentral:rRNA from 1 species
AACGCGUCUGGGCAGGUUACCUACGUGUUACUCACCCGUCCGCCACUCGUUGGCGACCAAAAUCAAUCAGGUGCAAGCACCAUCAAUCAAUUGGGCCAACGCGUUCGACUUGCAUGUAUUAGGCACACCGCCGGCGUUCAUCCUGAGCCAUGAUCAAACUCU